rnacentral:rRNA from 1 species
GUGGGGAAUAUUGGACAAUGGGCGAAAGCCUGAUCCAGCCAUGCCGCGUGUGUGAAGAAGGUCUUCGGAUUGUAAAGCACUUUAAGUUGGGAGGAAGGGCAGUAAGUUAAUACCUUGCUGUUUUGACGUUACCAACAGAAUAAGCACCGGCUAACUUCGUGCCAGCAGCCGCGGUAAUACGAAGGGUGCAAGCGUUAAUCGGAAUUACUGGGCGUAAAGCGCGCGUAGGUGGUUCAGCAAGUUGGAGGUGAAAUCCCCGGGCUCAAGCUGGGAACUGCCUCCAAAACUGCAUGACUAGAGUACGGUAGAGGGUAGUGGAAUUUCCUGUGUAGCGGUGAAAUGCGUAGAUAUAGGAAGGAACACCAGUGGCGAAGGCGACUACCUGGACUGAUACUGACACUGAGGUGCGAAAGCGUGGGGAGCAAACAGGAUUAGAAACCCCGGUAGUCC